ACAGGGAGGGCAGCUGUCUCCUCAGCAGGGACCGUAUCAGCACCUUGACCCUGCACUUCCAGCCUCCAGAACUUGCUUGGAGGAACCACUGUCUGUGGUCCAAGCCGCCCAGCGAACGGCCCGUUGUUAAGGAGCCGGUAGUGUAUCCACGUGCUUCCGUGAAAAGGCACAAAGGCGUCCGGUGAAGCCGCCCACACCGCCGGCCCAGCCAACCAUGUCCCUGGGCAGAGGGAACCUUUGAACAAGACCCGCAACGAGACAGCUGGUGAGAAGAGGGCUCUGGGCAAAAGGACGAGCCUGUGCAAAGGCCCUGGGAGGGAAAGAGGCUCAAGGGGAGGCGGAGCGGCUGGACGGGGACAGAGCCCCACGGGGGCUUUAGAGGCAGACUGGGGUCCGACGCCAGCUCCAUCAGCCACUGGGGCAGAAGACCCCUCCCCCCCGCUUCCCCCCCUUCUCUCCCCCCCUCCCCCGCGCCUCCGUGUCCGCAUCUGUAAAGCAAGGGCAGUAAUUGCACCUGCCUCUGGGGUGGUAAGUGUGUUGGCCUCUGUAAAGCCUCUGGGACAGUGCCUGGCACGGCCAGCCUCCCGCUCCAGGCCCCCCCGCCCCCACAGGUCAACCCCAGCAGGUGCGGGGACAGGGCUGCUGUCACCGACGGAAGGGACCGGUCUGGGAAGAGGAGAGCCCCAGCGGACUCUUCCAUUGGCCACAGCUGGGCCACACCCACCCCCAGGACCAACCACAGGCCAGGGGGCGUGUGAGGUAGACACGCCCUUGGGCCCCAGGACGGUGACGCUAGACCGAACAGCUCCGCCGGAGGCAGAGCGCCCAGCCCCACGCCCAGCUCCGGUGACAUUCUCGCCGCAGACUUUAAAUGGAGGGAGCGAGUGGAUUGACCAUAUUUUGGCACAAGCUCCUUAAUUUACUGCAGCCCUGAGGAGGCUGGACACCUCCCCCCAACACACACACACAGAACGGAGCUGCCGCCAGGAAGGAGGAGUGGGGGGUGGUUGUGAGGGGGCCGUGGGCGCAGCUAGACACGACUAUAGAUGCCACAGGGCUGGAGGCAGGUUGGGGAGGGCAGGGUCGCUUUUGGUAAAAAUUGGUGUAUUGUCGAUUUACAAUGCUGUUAGUUUCAGGUGUACAGCAGAGUGACUCCGUUGUAAGAAUACAGAGCUAUUCUUCUUCCUCGUCUUCUUUUUUUUUUUUUUUUUUGUCUUUUUAGGGUCGCAUUCGCAGCAUAUGGAAGUUCCUGGGCCAGGGGUCAAAUGGGAGCUGCAGCUGCUGGCCUGCACCACAGCCAAGGCAAUGCCAGAUCCGAGCCACAUCCUUGACCUCCUCCGCAGCUCACGGCACCUCACCCACUAAGCGAGGCCGGGGAUCCAACUGCCUUCUCAGGGAUACCACAACGGGAACUUAGAGCUGUUAUUUCCAGGGUCUUUCCCCUUAUAAGUUAUUACAAAAUAUUGAGUGUAUCUCCCAAGUGGCAUUUAAAGAUCACUCCGGCAGCUGGUGAAGACUGGAUGAAGGGGCCAUGAGUGGGGCAAGAGGCCUGCUGGAAACCCCUGCCUUGUCUCGGGGAGAACAUGCUGGCCUGGACCAAGGUGUUAAGGCAGGGGUGGAGACCACUGGACAGACCCACCAUGCGGGCCUGGAGGUGGGGCCCAUGGGCUGGCCCCUGGAUGCGGGGGGCAGGUGAUGGUACUGCCCUGGGGACCAGGAAGGGGGCCUGGCCCUGAGGCCUUUCAGGCGGGUCCAUGGAGCCUGGACUACCUGCUCAGCUCCUUCUGCCCUGCUCCAUCCAGCUGUCACCAAGACCCUGACCAGGCCACCUCCCCCUCCCCCAGCAGGCAGCCUCACGCUGCUGAUGGGCCAGGCCCAUCCUGGUCACCUUGCUUCCCAGCCAGAAAGCCUCCACAGCCUGGGCGAGGGAGUCCAAGCUAAUUCAGGGCCUCUCCCACCUCUCCUGGUUGUCAGUGUGAGGGGAACUUUGGGGACAAGGGGACGCUCCCUGCAAUGGACUGUGUGACAGGAGUUGGGGCCCUGCCUCCCCGCCAGCGCUUCCAGACAAUCCACACGACUGGAGGUGAGUUUGUGUGGGGGCAGCACAGGUCUGGCCUCUCAGGGCCCAGGGGUCAGAGCUGAGGCGAGGGCACCAAAUGGAGCAGGUGUGUCCCCUGGGUCGCUUUGCCCUCACAAAACUCCAAGAACAGCCGGGGCCCCCAGCUGCAGGGACGGGUCACAGGGGGGCUGUUCCACUCUUUCGAGAGCUUUGAGGUCCCUUAAAACCCCCCAACACCCCCUAAGGUCCCAAAGAUUUCCUAAAUUUGCCCAAGACCCACCAGGCCCCCCAAGAUUCCUCAAGAUCCUCAAGACAUCAGAAGCCCCCCAAAGUUCCUCUAGUCUCCUUAGGGCCCCACAAGGCCCCAAAGAUUCCCCCAAGAUUCCUCAAGGUCCCCCAUGACCACCCACAUCUUCUAACCACCCCCAGGGUCCCCGAGGUCUACCAGCUCCCCCAGGCCCCCUGAAGACUCUUAGUCCCUCCCAGGUCCCCAAGACUCCAGGCCCCAGGGCCUCUCUGCAUCCUCUACCCUGCAGGAGCCCCCUCCCCACCCACUCUUUGCCUGCGAUGCCCAGUGGGCAAGGGGGUGAAGCCAAUUGGUCUGCUCCAUGCUUCCUGCUGUCAGCUGUUGGUCCCUGGCCAGCCUAUGGAGUGCCACCUCUGGGUCACAUGACUGCCCAGGCAGUAUCACAUGGUAUCAGACAUGGCAGCCCACAGCUUUGCCAUCAGCAAGCAUGGUGGUCAGGGAGUUGCCCGCUACCCUGGGCACCUUGGGCACUGCCCCUGCUCAGGAGGAAAACCAGCUGGUGCAGCGCAGAGCCCUGAGCAGGACUCCAGGCCCUCCUGGAGCUGCACCCUUCAGCCCACCCUACCCAUCGUGGGGGGGUGGGGAUCCAGCAGCCCCACGCCACAGCCCCUCCUUGGAGUCGGAGGUCUUGCUUAGCUCCACCAGUGCCAGGACACAGCCCGAGCCCGCUCCACCCCCUCCCUGGUCUGGUGGCGCAGGACCACACCCAACCGGCCUCUAUCCAGCACUUUCCCUGCACACAAAGGCUGAACCAUCAACCCACACGCCCUGAACACACCCACAAACCACAAACUCACCUCCCCUUUGCCCACAGGAUGUCCACAGGCAAAAUUGUCGCCAAGAGAAGGAAGGAAGAGCCCCGACCGGCUCUGCCUCUGUGGGGAAAGAGCCUGUUUGCAGCCUCCAAGGAAGCCUGCUGAAUAGGUGAGCAACCCUUGAGUCCCAAGCCCCUGGGGCUCCCGUUUUAAGGAAGGAAAAGCCAGACCAGGAGACAGGAGGGUUGUUUGGCCACUGGCUGUGAGGCCUCCAUCUAGGCCCUUUGCCUCUCUGCCCCUCAGUGACCUCACUGCACACCUGGAGCAAUGACCUGUGGCGGUCCUGGGGCUAAGAGCACAGACUCUGGAGAGGGACUGCCUGGGUUUGAGUCCUGGCUCUGCUCCCUACAGGCUGUGUGACUCUGGACAAGCUUCUGAGCUUCUCUGUGCCUGAGUUUUCAAACCUUAACGGGGGUGGGGGGGGAUCAAACAGAAGAUACCACCAAGGGUCAUUGGGAGGAGUCGGUGAGUGAGCAUUUAUUUCUUUUUUCUGUUUUUGUAUAAAGUGUUUAAAACAGUGUCUGGCACACAGUAAGUGCAGUGUAACGGGGUGCUCAAAAUUUCACCCGAGUGUUCAUUAUUCAUUUAGCAAACAUCUGCCCAUCAGCUGUACUUAUCAGGUCCUGGCUGAGCCUUGAGUUGGCAGAGGUGAACCGAAGGAAACUACAACAGACAUACAAGUCACCGCCUCCCACGACAGUCUGGGACUGCCAUUCUGUAAGGGCUCCGGGGUUCAAAGAGACCUGAGAGGCCGGAUGGAGCCCUUCUGCUGGGGUUGCUCAGGGGAGGCUUCUCGGAGGAGAGAGCAUUUAAGCUGGGCGCGGAGGCCUGGGCUGGCAGUGGCAGGGCUCAGCCCACUGAUUGGCUGAUGGAUCUGCAAAAGUUGGAACAUCCAUGGGUGCUAAGUCUGCUGGGACCAAGGAUCUGAAAUGACUUCAUUGCCGAGCUGAGCGUGGACCCUGAAACCUACUUGGUUUGGUAACCUGCACGUUGUACCCAGCUGACAUUGCCCCCACCGGAUAUCCAUGGAACUGGCCAAGCUGGACACUGGGGAGGGACAGGUGUGGGCCGAUGGCCUCUGGACACUGCUUCUCCCACACUUGGGCUGAGUCCUAUGCUGUGAACCCAGACACCAAGAUGACAAGACCAACAGGGCAAGACCUCCGGGGGCCUGGCCUGGCCCCCCUCAUGCAGUGCCUCUAACAUGUUAUCCUCUCUUCAGGCCUCCAGCCCUCGCCAAGGCCCAAGGCUGUGCUAAGGCUCUGUUGAGAGCCAACCUGGGGGCCCAGGGCCUGCCUGGGCAGAGAUUGCGCCCAGGAGGCGGUGAGCUGUGCUGACUCCCAGGAAGACAGCCAACACCUGCACCAGCCUGCCCAGGCACACCCCUCUGCCCCAGCCAACUAUGACACAGCUGUCAAGGCCUAGCCCAGCUGUCAUUUCCUCUGGGCUGGGGCCAGGGUUAUCAGUAGGGUCUCCAGCCUUGGUGCUUCUGUGACAUGGAUGGGGUGAGGAAUUAAACACACAGGAAAACCAAUUCAGACAAUCAAG
rnacentral:lncRNA from 1 species